UGUGGUUGGCAUGAAUAUGGACAGGGAC
rnacentral:piRNA from 1 species